UUGGUUAAGUUAGAAAGGGCGCACGGUGGAUGCCUUGGCACUAGGAGCCGAAGAAGGACGGGACUAACACCGAUAUGCUUUGGGGAGCUGUACGUAAGCGUUGAUCCAGAGAUUUCCGAAUGGGGGAACCCACUAUCUUUAGUCGGAUAGUAUCCUUACGUGAAUACAUAGCGUGAGGAAGGCAGACCCAGGGAACUGAAACAUCUAAGUACCUGGAGGAAGAGAAAGAAAAAUCGAUUUCCUGAGUAGCGGCGAGCGAAACGGAAAGAGCCCAAACCAAGAAGCUUGCUUCUUGGGGUUGUAGGACACUCUAUACGGAGUUACAAAAGAAAGUUAUAAAUGAAGCGGUCUGGAAAGGCCCGCCAAAGACGGUAACAGCCCGGUAGUUGAAAUGGCUUUCCCUCCAGAGUGGAUCCUGAGUACGGCGGAACACGUGAAAUUCCGUCGGAAUCCGGGAGGACCAUCUCCCAAGGCUAAAUACUCCCUAGUGACCGAUAGUGAACCAGUACCGUGAGGGAAAGGUGAAAAGCACCCCGGAAGGGGAGUGAAACAGUUCCUGAAACCGUGUGCCUACAAGUAGUUAGAGCCCGUUAAUGGGUGAUAGCGUGCCUUUUGUAGAAUGAACCGGCGAGUUACGAUUUGUUGCAAGGUUAAGCGGAAAAAGCGGAGCCGUAGCGAAAGCGAGUCUGAAUAGGGCGCAUAAGUAACAGGUCGUAGACCCGAAACCAGGUGAUCUACCCAUGUCCAGGAUGAAGGUAAGGUAAUACUUACUGGAGGUCCGAACCCACGCACGUUGAAAAGUGCGGGGAUGAGGUGUGGGUAGCGGAGAAAUUCCAAUCGAACUUGGAGAUAGCUGGUUCUCUCCGAAAUAGCUUUAGGGCUAGCCUCGAGGUAAAGAGUCAUGGAGGUAGAGCACUGUUUGGACUAGGGGCCCUUCUCGGGUUACCGAAUUCAGAUAAACUCCGAAUGCCAUGUACUUAUACUCGGGAGUCAGACUGCGAGUGAUAAGAUCCGUAGUCGAAAGGGAAACAGCCCAGACCACCAGUUAAGGUCCCCAAAUAUAUGUUAAGUGGAAAAGGAUGUGGGGUUGCUUAGACAACCAGGAUGUUGGCUUAGAAGCAGCCACCAUUGAAAGAGUGCGUAAUAGCUCACUGGUCGAGUGACCCCGCGCCGAAAAUGUACCGGGGCUAAACAUAUUACCGAAACUGUGGAUGAACCUCUUUAGAGGUUCGUGGUAGGAGAGCGUUCUAAGGGCGGUGAAGUCAGACCGGAAGGACUGGUGGAGCGCUUAGAAGUGAGAAUGCCGGUAUGAGUAGCGAAAGAAGGGUGAGAAUCCCUUCCACCGAAUAUCUAAGGUUUCCUGAGGAAGGCUCGUCCGCUCAGGGUUAGUCGGGACCUAAGCCGAGGCCGAUAGGCGUAGGCGAUGGACAACAGGUAGAGAUUCCUGUACCAGUGCUAAUUGUUUAACCGAUGGGGU
rnacentral:rRNA from 1 species